UACGUAGGGCGCAAGCGUUGUCCGGAAUUAUUGGGCGUAAAGAGCUCGUAGGCGGCUUGUCACGUCGGGUGUGAAAGACCGGGCUUGACCCCGGUUCUGCAUUCGAUACGGGCUGGCUAGAGUGUGGUAGGGGAGAUCGGAAUUCCUGGUGUAGCGGUGAAAUGCGCAGAUAUCAGGAGGAACACCGGUGGCGAAGGCGGAUCUCUGGGCCAUUACUGACGCUGAGGAGCGAAAGCGUGGGAGCGAACAGG
rnacentral:rRNA from 1 species